CAACCUACAACUGCGCACCUACGUCUGUUGCCCUGACAACUGCAGCACCUACAACGGCUCGAUCUGCAACUACAGCGCCUACUACUAUAGCCCUUAGAAGGGUGACUUUCCGUUCUGUCCUAGACACAUUUACUAUUGAAUUGGAGGAUCCAUCUUCUGAUGAUUUUAAAGGUCGGGCUACAUUGGUGAAGGAACAGCUUACACCUGUUUACGAAAAAGCAUUCCCUUCGUCCUUCAAAUCACUAGAUGUUGUUUCAUUCAGUAACGGAUCAAUCAUCAGCGUCAUUGAGGUUUCAUUUGUAAGCACUCUGCUCCUAAUAACACUGAGAUUGAGAACACUUUGAUCAACGCAACAGUCGCUGGAUUCGACAUUGAAAGCAGCUCCAUUAGCGUAAAUGGCAUAUCUUCCACUGCUGCUCCAACGAACAGUAGCACCUACAACUACUGCUGCUCCGACAACGGUGCAAACCUACAACUACUGCUUCACCUACAACU